CCGCGUUAGUCAUGCAAAAAAUAUGAGCUCCCAUAAUAUAAUAAUUAUUUUUGUACGUUCCUGAUUAUGUGUGAAAGUAUUGACCAAUAAUAAUAAAAAAAAAGGCUAGUAAACAAAAUAUUAAAAAUUUCCAUUUAUAUAGGAGAAAAAACAGGUCAGAAUUGCAAGCAGGAGAUCUCAUCAAAUCGAAUGGCCAACAUUUCCCACAAUAUGAUUGAGAGGUAGCGAAAUGCCAACUUUACCUUCUCAAUAGUUAACGAGUUGAAAUCAUCGGUCACAUUCUCUAUAUAAUUUCACCCUUUCUCGGUCUCCACACACAGAAAAUUCUAAAUUCUUUCAAAUUCACAUAUAUAUGUUCUUCGCAACUCAAAUCCACAUCUCCGAUUGCUUCUCCAAGCACCAUCGUCUUAUUGUUGAUCCGCACACAAUAAGACAAUGCUUGAGAAAGAGUUUUUCACCGAGUAUGGAGAGGCGAAUCAGUACGAGAUUCAGGAAGUGAUUGGGAAGGGAAGCUAUGGAGUUGUGGCCUCCGCUAUAGACACUCAUACCGGAGAGAAGGUGGCUAUCAAGAAGAUGAACGAUAUUUUUGAGCACGUCUCUGAUGCCACGCGCAUUCUGCGAGAGAUCAAGCUUCUCCGCCUCCUCAGACACCCUGAUAUUGUUGAAAUCAAGCACAUAAUGCUUCCUCCAUCGCCUAGAGAGUUCAAGGAUAUUUAUGUCGUUUUUGAAUUGAUGGAAUCUGAUCUUCACCAGGUUAUCAAGUUGAACGAUGACCUCACUCCUGACCAUCAUCAGUUUUUCUUGUACCAGCUUCUUCGAGCUCUGAAAUAUAUACACUCAGCUCAUGUUUUUCAUCGAGAUUUGAAGCCCAAAAAUAUUCUUGCUAAUGCAGACUGCAAGCUAAAGCUUUGUGAUUUUGGGCUUGCUCGUGUGUCCUUUACUAAUGCCCCUUCUGCCAUUUUUUGGACCGAUUAUGUGGCAACUCGAUGGUACCGUGCUCCUGAACUCUGUGGUUCUUUUUCCUCUAAGUACACCCCUGCUAUUGAUAUCUGGAGCAUAGGAUGUAUAUUUGCUGAGUUGCUAACAGGGAAACCCUUGUUUCCUGGAAAAAAUGUGGUGCACCAGUUGGAUCUGAUAACUGAUUUGCUUGGCACUCCUUCAGCAGAGUCCAUUGCACGGAUUGGGAAUGAAAAAGCUAGAAAAUAUUUGAACAGCAUGAGGAAAAAACGACCAAUUCCUUUGUCAAAGAAAAUUCCAAAUGCAGACCCAUUGGCUUUACGGUUACUUGAGCGAUUGCUGGCAUUUGAUCCUAAAGACCGUCCAUCUGCUGAAGAGGCGCUAGCAGAUCCGUAUUUUCAUGAUCUGGCAAAUAAGGAGCAUGAACCAUCAAGACAACCUAUUUCAAAGCUCGAGUUUGAAUUUGAGAAGAGGAAAUUGACAGAAGAUGAUGUAAGAGAGUUAAUCUAUAGAGAGAUUUUGGAGUACCAUCCUGAGAUGCUGAAAGAGUACCUUCGGGGAACGGAUCAUACUCACUUCGUGUAUCCAAGGUCAGACAUUCAAGUAUCACUUCUUGUAGCGUGAUAAAGAAUUAAGCAAAUUACAUACAGAAGAAAACAUGGAAUUUUAGAAACUCCUAUGCAUGGCUUUUAUGGCAUUAUUGCCAAGUCUCCAUUGUCAAAAUUCCUAUUGAAAAUUAAAAUUCAUAUAUAAAUAUAUGUAUAUAAAUACUAAUCGAUGUUCUAAGGAUGACAUGAGAGGCAAUUUUAUGUUCCUCUCUAUGAGGUGUCAUUCACUGUAACUGAUAUGAUGAAUCUUUUCUUUACCCAGUGGAAUUGACCGAUUUAAGGAACAAUUUGCACAUCUUGAGGAAGGAAAUGGUAUAAGUGAAAGAAGCAGUCCUCUCCACAGGAAGCAUGCCACCUCCCUGCCCAGGGAGCGGAUCUGCACAAUUGAUGAAACUGAUAUUGUUGUAAAGCGUAGUGCAGCAUCUGUUACUCGUGCAACUCUGCAGAGUCCUCCAAAGUCGGAAUCAACUGCAGAAUUGCAAUCUGCAAACAGAAAUGCAGUAGCUAUGCAGACCAGCUCUACCAAACCCAAGUGUAGCGCCCAUAGCCUGUUGAAGAGUGACAGUAUAUGUGCUUCAAGGUGCAUUGGCGUAGUUGGAAAUGAUCGUGAAGUUCAUGCUCUCUGAUUCAUGUAGGGGAUAUUUUCUUUACAUGCAACACCAUGGAGGACCCUUGCAAGAAUGGGUGGUUUACAAUUUAGAAAUUACAUUUAUUCAGCCAACAUACUGGUGGAGAUAAAGACGGUUCCAAUCUGCUGUUUCUCUUUUUCAUGCUAAUUGUUACUGCAUUUCAACCCUUUUAUUGCUUGCAUGCGCACGGUAAAAUUUAAAAUGUGCAAUGCAAAGUUCAGAAAGUCGGGUGUCAAAAGUGCUUCUAGCUGCCACGUAUAGUGGCAUAAGAAAUUAAGAACUAAUCAUUGGUUUCACAGCACAGCAUAGCAGUUCAGUAUGCCUGGUACUGCCGUUCUGUGUCUGUAUUAGAUAAACAGCAAAAUUGGAUGGCUUCAUUUUAGCUACGGGGAAGUAGGUUUUUCUAGGAAACGUAACAGCUGCAAUGAUUGGGGUGUCUUCAUAUGUUAAAAAACAUUCGGAAAUUUGAUCGCUUUUAGGCGGUUUUAUGAGAGAUUGGUUGGACUUUGGAGUCGUAUAAAUGAUGACUGUAAUAAUCAUCAGUCCUAGGGAAGAUAAUGGGAUUAACUAGUUUGACAGUUGAACCAAACCACAAAAUUUGCAUGUUUUGCAUGUCUAUAUAGUGAAAAAUAUUUCAGAAUUCUAUUACUUUAGACAUGGGUAAGUUACAUAGAUAGUACUUUAACUUAAGAAUAUGUAAUGGUAAGGUAAUGUAACGAUAAGGUGGUCAAAUUUUAAUUUGUAAAAUAAAAUCAUGUGAUCUUUAAGGUGCAUUAAGGUGCAU
rnacentral:misc_RNA from 1 species